rnacentral:rRNA from 1 species
AGCGAACGCUGGCGGCAGGCUUAACACAUGCAAGUCGAGCGGGCGUAGCAAUACGUCAGCGGCAGACGGGUGAGUAACGCGUGGGAACAUACCUUUUGGUUCGGAACAACACAGGGAAACUUGUGCUAAUACCGGAUAAGCCCUUACGGGGAAAGAUUUAUCGCCGAAAGAUUGGCCCGCGUCUGAUUAGCUAGUUGGUGAGGUAACGGCUCACCAAGGCGACGAUCAGUAGCNGGUCUGAGAGGAUGAUCAGCCACAUUGGGACUGAGACACGGCCCAAACUCCUACGGGAGGCAGCAGUGGGGAAUAUUGGACAAUGGGCGCAAGCCUGAUCCAGCCAUGCCGCGUGAGUGAUGAAGGCCCUAGGGUUGUAAGCUCUUUUGUGCGGGAAGAUAAUGACGGUACCGCAAGAAUAAGCCCCGGCUAACUUCGUGCCAGCAGCCGCCGUAAG